rnacentral:lncRNA from 1 species
CUCAAGGAAAAAUGUUCCCUGAAAAUGAGGCUGGUGUCACAAUUACAUGUGAACAUAUGCAUUUGGAGGCGGGAGUAGGUGGGUAUAUACUGCAUCCCGUAAACUGACUGGAGCUCCACACCCAUCAACGGGUAGCCGGCCACUGCCCUAACAGGCUGUCCUUCCCUCCACAGGCUGUGUCUCGUGUCUGGAGUAUGGUGAGCACUACAUCCUCACGUUCCCCAAUGGCUAUGGAAGGUCUAUCUUGACAGUGCCCUGGGUGGAAUUAGGAGGAGAAUGCAGUAUUAACUGCUCCAAAACUGGCUACAGUGCAAAUAUCGUCUUCCACACCAAGCCGUUCUAUGGCGGCAAGAAGCACAGAAUUACUGCAGAGAUUUUUUCUCCAAAUGACAAGAAAUCCUUCUGCUCAAUUGAAGGGGAAUGGAAUGGCAUCAUGUAUGCAAAAUAUGCAACCGGGG